CUACGGGGGGCAGCAGUGGGGAAUAUUGCACAAUGGGGGAAACCCUGAUGCAGCAACGCCGCGUGGAGGAUGACGCAUUUCGGUGUGUAAACUCCUUUUAUAUAGGAAGAUAAUGACGGUACUAUAUGAAUAAGCACCGGCUAACUCCGUGCCAGCAGCCGCGGUAAUACGGAGGGUGCAAGCGUUACUCGGAAUCACUGGGCGUAAAGCGCGCGCAGGCGGCCUUUUAAGUUGGAUGUGAAAGCCUAUGGCUUAACCAUAGAACUGCAUCCAAAACUAUCAGGCUAGAGUCUGGGAGGGGAAGAUGGAAUUAGUUGCGUAGGGGUAAAAUCCGUAGAGAUAACUAGGAAUACCAAAAGCGAAGGCGAUCUUCUGGAACAGUACUGACGCUGAGGCGCGAAAGCGUGGGGAGCAAACAGGAUUAGAUACCCGGGUAGUC
rnacentral:rRNA from 1 species